rnacentral:rRNA from 1 species
UACGAAGGGGGCUAGCGUUGUUCGGAAUUACUGGGCGUAAAGCGCGUGUAGGCGGUCGUGCAAGUCGGGUGUGAAAGCCCGGGGCUCAACCCCGGAAGUGCAUUCGAUACUGCAUGGCUAGAGUACCGGAGAGGGUGGUGGAAUUCCAGGUGUAGCGGUGAAAUGCGUAGAUAUCUGGAGGAACAUCGGUGGCGAAGGCGGCAUCCUGGACCGGUAUUGACGCUGAGGCGCGAAAGCCAGGGGAGCAAACGGG